rnacentral:sRNA from 1 species
UUGAGUCAAAUUUAUAGAUUACGUACUAAACAUAAAUUGAAUUAAAUUCAUAGAUAAAACAGCUAAAUUUUUUUUUUACUACUUAUAACUUAUAUUCAUAAGAUCAAACAACCAUUUGAUAACUCAUAGAUCAAACAUUUAAAAAGCAAACCUUAAACCCUAAAUACUAAAUACAAAACGGAAAAAUAUAGAGCUAAAAACGAAACAUAAGAAAUUGCAGGGAGUGGUUUUUAGAAUUUCCAUCUUUGCAGCCAAACACACACAAUUAGGCUUCAAGAAUCUUUGAUUAUGAAAAGACUAUGACAAAACAAGAUCCAUUAAUUAUACAAGUUGAUGAGAGUAGGAAUGGAACUAAAAUGCGUAGAGAUGGUGUGAUUAUGACAAGAUUGGUAGUGUUUACUU